AUUGAACGCUGGCGGCAGGCUUAACACAUGCAAGUCGAGCGGAGCGAGGGUGCUUGCACCUUAGCUUAGCGGCGGACGGGUGAGUAAUGCUUAGGAAUCUGCCUAUUAGUGGGGGACAACAUUCCGAAAGGAAUGCUAAUACCGCAUACGCCCUACGGGGGAAAGCAGGGGAUCUUCGGACCUUGCGCUAAUAGCUGAGCCUAAGUCGGAGUAGCUAGUUGGUGGGGUAAAGGCCUACCAAGGCGACGAUCUGUAGCGGGUCUGGGAGGAUGAUCCGCCACACUGGGACUGAGACACGGCCCAGACUCCUACGGGAGGCAGCAGUGGGAAAUAUUGGACAAUGGGGGGAACCCUGAUCCAGCCAUGCCGCGUGUGUGAAGAAGGCCUUAUGGUUGUAAAGCACUUUAAGCGAGGAGGAGGCUACUUUAGUUAAUACCUAGAGAUAGUGGACGUUACUCGCAGAAUAAGCACCGGCUAACUCUGUGCCAGCAGCCGCAGUAA
rnacentral:rRNA from 1 species